rnacentral:rRNA from 1 species
GACGAACGCUGGCGGCGUGCUUAACACAUGCAAGUCGAACGAGAUCCAAUGUGUAGCAAUACACAGGAAGAUCUAGUGGCGAACGGGUGAGGAACACGUGAGAAACGUACCCCAGACUUUGGGAUAACAGUCCGAAAGGACUGCUAAUACCAAAUAACGUCGGAAGUCCGCAUGGACAUCUGACGAAAGGGAUUCCGGUUUGGGAGCGUCUCGCGGACCUAUCAGCUAGUUGGAGGGGUAACGGCCCACCAAGGCAACGACGGGUAGCUGGUCUGAGAGGAUGGUCAGCCACACUGGGACUGAGACACGGCCCAGACUCCUACGGGAGGCAGCAGUGGGGAAUCUUGCGCAAUGGGCGAAAGCCUGACGCAGCAACGCCGCGUGCGGGAAGAAGGCGUUCGGGCUGUAAACCGCUUUCAGUAGGAACGAAACUGACGGUACCUACAGAAGAAGGAGCGGCCAACUAUGUG